rnacentral:rRNA from 2 species
AACCUGCGGAGGGAUCAUUACUGAGUGAGGGCUCACGCCCGACCUCCAACCCUUUGUGAACCAAACUUGUUGCUUCGGGGGCGACCCUGCCGACGACUUUGUCGCCGGGCGCCCCCGGAGGUCUUCUAAACACUGCAUCUUUGCGUCGGAGUUUAAACAAAUUAAACAAAACUUUCAACAACGGAUCUCUUGGUUCUGGCAUCGAUGAAGAACGCAGCGAAAUGCGAUAAGUAAUGUGAAUUGCAGAAUUCAGUGAAUCAUCGAAUCUUUGAACGCACAUUGCGCCCUUUGGUAUUCCGAAGGGCAUGCCUGUUCGAGCGUCAUUUCACCACUCAAGCCUGGCUUGGUAUUGGGCGUCGCGGUGUUCCGCGCGCCUUAAAGUCUUCCGGCUGAGCUGUCCGUCUCUAAGCGUUGUGGAUUUUUCAAUUCGCUUCGGAGUGCGGGUGGCCGCGGCCGUUAAAUCUUUAUUCAAAGGUUGACCUCGGAUCAGGUAGGGAUA